UUCUGAUGAUCAGAGACGCUGUGAAGGAGAAUGAGCCUUGACUGUAAAACGUUCCCUUACAUUAAGCUACUGCUCCUUUUUUGUAAACCAGCUCAGUUAUUCUGCUGGGAACAGACAGUGAUCCAACUGGAACCAGAAGACUCGUAAUUCUUCAUUCUGCGACCCAUAAUACUGGAGCACCUGGAUCCAGAAACCCUCCCAGACUCUCUCUGCGCUGUCAAAGGUUGGUACGUUCCCCCCAGAACCUCCCUUGUUUUGAGGAGUUGGUAUGAUCCAGCCUGACAGAACCAGAUCUCGAGGGGGGUACAGCAUGUUUGGACAUUUAAACGAAACCAGUUGUUUGUUCUUGAUGCUUUGUUAGGGACCUUCUUGUGGUUUGUUAUUUACUCCUUCCUCCUUCAAGAUCUUUCUCCCACAUGUUGAAGUUGUCUUUUUGCCUGGUGUUGAGAUAUAAAACUCACAUUUUGUUACAAAGUGUUCUGUUCUUCCUCUUAUUAUAUUAUUUUAAGUCAUGCAAAGUGAAGCCAUCUGUCUGAAGUGUUGCAUUCUUUAAAUGAUCCACAAAAAUCGACCAUCUUCUUAACAUUAAUAUUUUUUGAGAGUUAUUUCAUUGCUUUUACAAAAAGCCAGGUUUAUUUGCAUUAAUAUUAAUAGAAUGGCUUUACAGUGGCGGUUUGUAGAAAACAGGCUAAAACAACGGCUAUACAGAAAACUGAAAAAAAAAAGCAGAAAUGUGUGUAGAGUUAGUGGUCAGAAUUUCUCAAAAAAAAAAAAAAAAAAAUAACAUUCAAAAAUAUUUUCCCCAAAUGUAUUGAGUAAAUAAACAUUCUGUCUACUCUUUGGUCUUUGACUGACCAACGGCAGAUGGGAAAUUCGUUUAAAAGCAUUAUUUAAAAUUAUUAAAAUAUAUAUAUA